rnacentral:lncRNA from 1 species
GUUGUAACAUACACGUUACAACUGUGCUGUAAAAUUCACUAGACUAUUUCAAUUGUUAUUUUAUUAGUCUGUUACAAAGAACUUUGUUUUUGACUGCACGCGCUAAAUUCUUUAGGUUGAAAUAAUUUUGAUUUUUAUUGUACUGUAGCGAGUAAAGUCGAAAAGAGUUUUUGCAUUGUUAUCAAAUGAGAAGAACUAUUGCAGAAGAUUCAGAAUGAUCCCAGCAGCCUCACUUCUUUUUGGAUAUUGGCCUUAAGCUUUUGGAUUGCUCUUGACAUAAUAACAUACAAUUAAUCCUUUAACA